GAAUUUUUGAUUAACGCCUGCCGAAAGGUGGGCCUUGUGGAAG
rfam:Serratia sp. Leaf50 contig_5, whole genome shotgun sequence.